rnacentral:rRNA from 1 species
AUUGAACGCUGGCGGCAUGCCUAACACAUGCAAGUCGAACGCGUGGCGGACGGGUGAGUAAUGCCUAGGAAUCUGCCUGGUAGUGCGGGAUAACGUCCGGAAACGGUAGCUAAUACAGCAUACCAUCGGAUGUGCCCAGAUGGGAUUAGCUUGUAGGUGGGGUAACGGCUCACCUAGGCGCCGAUCCCUAGCUGGUCUGAGAGGAUGACCAGCCACACUGUGACUGAGAGACGGUCCAGACUCCUACGGGAGGCAGCAGUGGGGAAUAUUGGAAAAUGGGGGAAACCCUGAUCCAGCCAUCCCGCGUGUAUGAUGAAGGCCUUCGGGUUGUAAAGUCCUUUUGUUGGGGAAGCGGUAUCUAAAGAAUAAGCACCGGCUAACUUCGUGCCAGCAGCCGCGGUAAUUC